rnacentral:rRNA from 1 species
AAUCAACGCUGGCGGCGUGCCUAACACAUGCAAGUCGAACGCGAAAGUCCCGCAAGGGAUUAGUAGAGUGGCAAACGGGUGAGUAACACGUGGGUGACCUGCCUUCGAGUGGGGGAUAACGUCCCGAAAGGGACGCUAAUACCGCAUAACAUCCUGCCUUUGAAGAGGUGGAGAUCAAAGCUGGGGACCGCAAGGCCUGGCGCUGGAAGAGGGGCCCGCGUCUGAUUAGCUAGUGGUGAGGUAACGGCUCACCAAGGCAACGAUCAGUAUCCGGCCUGAGAGGGCGGACGGACACACUGGGACUGAGACACGGCCCAGACUCCUACGGGAGGCAGCAGUGGGGAAUUGUUCGCAAUGGGCGCAAGCCUGACGACGCAACGCCGCGUGGAGGAUGAAGACC